AUGCAGCGGGCAGAAGUAUUUAAACUUCUAUUCCUGCAGGCUGGUAUAGUGACGGUAUUUGCUAUCUCCAACAUGGUCAGUCUUCCCCAGCAUUGGGAUUUUAUCUUUGACAGUGAAAUUCCUAAGGACUCCUUGAAGGCCAUUCUGUUGGAGUUAGAAUGUCACUUUACAUGGAAUUUACUUAAGGAAGACAUUGAUCUGUUUGAUGUGGAAGAUACAAUUGGUCAACAGCUUGAAUUUCUUACCACAAAAUCCAGACUCACUCUUUAUAACUUAUUGGCCUAUGUGAAACACCUGAAAGGCCAAAAUAAAGAUGCUCUAGAGUGCCUGGAACAAGCAGAAGAAAUAAUCCGUCAAGAACACUCAGACAAAGAGGCAAUACGAAGUCUGGUCACUUGGGGAAACUAUGCCUGGGUAUAUUAUCACAUGGACCAGCUCAAAGAAUCUCAGAAGUAUAUAGACAAAAUAGGGAAUGUUUGCAAGAAAUUGUCCAGUCCUUCUAACUACAAGUUGGAGCGUCCUGAGAUUGACUGUGAAAAAGGGUGGGCACUCUUGAAAUUUGGAGGAAAGUAUUACCAAAAGGCUAAAGUGGCUUUUGAGAAGGCUUUGGAAGCUGAACCUGACAAUCCAGAAUUUAACAUCGGCUAUGCCAUCACAGUGUAUCGGCUGGAUGAUUCUGACAGAGAAGGGUCUAUAAAGAGCUUUUCCCUCGGUCCUCUGAGGAAAGCUGUUACCUUGAACCCAGAUAACUCCUACAUUAAGGUUUUUCUGGCACUAAAGCUUCAAGAUGUACAUGCAGAAGCUGAAGGGGAAAGGUAUAUUGAAGAAAUCCUGGACCAGAUAUCAUCCCAACCAUAUGUCCUUCGUUAUGCAGCCAAAUUCUACAGGAGAAAAAAUUCCUGGGACAAAGCUCUGGAACUUUUGAAAAAGGCCUUGGAGGUGACACCAACCUCUUCUUUCCUGCAUCACCAGAUGGGACUUUGCUAUAGGGCACAAAUGAUCCAAAUCAAGAAGGCCACACGCAACAGACCUAAAGGAAAGGAUAAACUGAAAGUUGAUGAGCUGAUUACAUCUGCUAUAUUUCAUUUCAAAGCAGCUGUGGAAAAGGACUCUAUGUUUGCAUUUGCCUACACGGAUCUGGCCAACAUGUAUGCUGAGGGAGGCCAGUAUAGCAAUGCUGAAGACGUUUUCCAGAAAGCCCUUCGUCUGGAGAACAUAACUGAUGAUCACAAACAUCAGAUCCAUUAUCACUAUGGCCGCUUUCAGGAAUUUCACCGUAAAUCAGAAAGUACUGCUAUCCACCAUUAUUUAGAAGCCUUAAAGGUCAAAGACCGGUCAUCCCUACGCACCAAAUUGACAAGUGCUCUGAAGAAAUUGGCUGUCAAGAGACUCAGCCACAAUGCUUCAGAUGUGCAGAGUUUAAGUGCCCUAGGGUUUGUUUACAAGCUGGAAGGAGAAAAGAGGCAAGCUGCUGAGUACUAUGAGAGGGCCCAAAAGGUAGACCCAGAAAAUGAAGAAUUCCUUACUGCUCUCUGUGAGCUUCGACUUUCUAUUUAAAUACAUACUCUAGGAAAUUAGUUCUAAGCUUUCCUCUCCAUUUUGGGUCAUUAUAUUUUUUUGUUUAUUAUUUUAAUCCAUUGUUCAUUAUAGAGCCAAUUUUUUGAAUGGUUACAUACCAAGCAUCAUCCUAAAUACUUCAUAUAUACAUAAUGAUGAAUCUUUUGCUGUUUUCUUUUUUUUAAAUUAAACUAAUAUAAUCCAUUGAGAAAUGAACAUUUCAGCUAUUGUAACUUUUAAAAAUAGUAUGGCCAUUAUGACUUUAUACUCUUUAUCUCUGCCAUUUAUAAUAAUUUUUGAUUAAAUUUUGUCAAAUUUUCCAUAUUACUCACACAGUGAGUAUAAUUCUGCAUAAACCCUGACAGCUAGGUCAGGAAUACUCUUUCAGGAGUGCAAAAUUGUAUUAGUUAAACUCUUAACUAUGUAGCUUGCAAAAGAUGGACCCUUCCAGUUACAGAUGUUUUAACUUUGAUGAGAAUAUUUAACCAUCAACCUGAUAGUCACCUAAAGAAUCCUCUUUGUUGAAAGAAAAAAGUUCAUAAUAAUAAAAAGCUUGUCAUCUGUGGUGACUUCAAUAAAAGGAGAAAAAACUAGAAUAGGAAAAAAAAAGAUUUCUUCAAAUACAGAACUUAAGGGACCCAUGAAAAAUCACAAGUAUUAUCUCCCAAAAUGUUCAUUAAGUAGCUAGAAGUAGUUGUGAGAAAAAAAAGAAUAAUGGAAAAUCCCAUGUCUUAUGUUUCUCUGGUUCUUUUGUAACAAGAAUGAACCUAAACUAAUCUAGAUGAAAUUAAUUUUAUUCCUUCCCAUUAAAAUUCCAGUAUGUUUAGGUUAAACUCAUUGAGGUAGAAAGCAGGCCAGUUGAGAAAUUGGGAGAAAUGAUAAACAAAUGGGUAAAAUAGGUAUCCCUAACCUAUAUCCCUAGAUUACCAAGAUUUCUAUGAUUUGGUUUUGGGUCUGGACUGGAUUGUUCUCAUACUCCCAGUUUCUGGCCUUUAGUAUUCCAAAGUUACUUCUGUGAAGCUUUUUCUUUUGUCUAAAGUUUUCAGAUUGACAUGUUUUCCUGUAGAUCCUAUAGGAAUAGUUAAGCUCUGCUUUCAGUUUUAAUAUCCAUCUUGAAGGGUCACUGUUUAAGGGCUCUUAUCCCAGGGGACAUUUUUAAUUGGGAUGUUGCUAAAAGUAGCUUCUGUAAUGUUUCUUUGAUUAUAUACUACACAAUUAUAUCUACCACCACAGUAUUAUUGGAAAAGUGUGCCAUGUGAUUUAAUUCUCCAUACCUCUAAUGUAGCUCUUAAAACUACUGUAUACAUACAUGUUUGUUUUUUACUUUUUGUUACUUUUUAAAAAAAAUUUUUUCUAUUGUGAUUAUUAUAAAAGUAAUGAAUUCUCAUUGUAAAAUUUCAAACAUAACAGAAGCAUAUGAGUUUAAAAGUAAGAGCACCCCCCUCACCCUUCCCUAAUUCUACACCCCCCAUGGUAACCUGUUUACAAUUUAAUAUGUAUCCUUCUAGAUAUUUUUUCUGUGCAUAUUCAAACAUACAUCCAUACUGCAAUGUAUUUCAUAAAUUAAAUUUUAAAAAUGUUUGUUUUACUUAA